rnacentral:pre_miRNA from 1 species
CAACUACUCCCUCUGUCCCAAAUUUCUUGUCUUAGAUUUGUCUAGAUACGGAUGUAUCUAAUACUAAAAUGUGACUUGAUACAUCCGUAUCUAGACAAAUCUAAGACAAG